AAACUACAAGGGGAGCCGAAGCUCCCCCAGAAGUAGUUGCGUGCUCUAUUUUUAUUAUUGAUUUCGGGCUUCUUGUUUUUGUUGAUCGCCCUCGCCAUGAAGCUUCACCUUCAUGACACUCCCAAUCGGGAGUCAAGAGCAAACGGAUUGCUUUGGUCGCUGUGUUGCUGAUCUACGAUCCAACCAGUUCAGGCUCUGCCUUAGGGCAGUU
rnacentral:ncRNA from 7 species